AAGAUAGAUUUACCUUGAAACUAAGCACCCCCUUUAUACCUGACCCUGCGAUGGAGUGAGUGGAGGCGGUUAGAGGUGGAUGGCCAGGAUCUCAUUCGGCCGAUGCCAUGUGGCGCCACCCAAUAAUCAGUAAAAGCUAGAUGCACAUUUGCAUACAAGAUUUCUAGGGAUGGUUCUCAAAGAGUUAUGAUAUAAUAUCAGCAGAUUCUAAAGUUUGCAUAUUUGAUGGAGUUGAAGUCAGUCAUGAAUAUAGAGAACUGUAGAUGCCUUUGAAGAACAAAUAAGUUCUGCAGUGCAGAACACUAUUACCAAAAAAAUUAAAGAAGGGAUUUUGAAGCUUUAUUGAAUACUCUUCCCAAAGAAAUACAAGUGGAUGAGAUCGCUGCUUUGAAUGUCACAUUUGCUAAUGAUCCUUUGUUGAGUAAUUCAUCCAUUGAAUUUGAGAUUGAUGGAGUGUUCAUGGCAGCAGUCGAGGUUGUAAAUCCCAGCUAUUACCAUAAUAAGAAUUCAAAAACUUCAGCUUCCUGCAAAUAUCCCCCUAAGAUGCUUGAGAUUUCAUUGGAUGAAGCAGUAUUUAAUUCUACAUCACACGUAUACUUCAAUGUAAGUCCAGAAUCGGAAUCUCCUGACGUUUGCCCGUUUGGUUGGGUGGAAACGGAAUCCGAUUUCCAUUCCGGGCGGAAUGGCAAAUUGGCAAUCCCCCAUUUGAGGGAAUGGCCAUUCCUGACCCCCCCGGAAUCGGAAUCCCAUUCCCGCUAUUUAAUAUAGAAAAAAACCAAAAUGACAAAAGAAACUCCUCAAACCUCUCCCUACCCGAUUCCAACUUUCUAACCCUCAUUCCCCUUUCUCUUUCGUCACUCCCUCCUUCGGCAGUUGAUGUUCCAAGUAUUCAUCUGAACUUAAACUCCGACAACGGUGACGAUGAGUCCUCCCCAGUUUUUCCGCUGUAGACCGGACCAAACCACAGGAAGCAACCUCCAUGAUUUAAUUGAGAAACUCUGAAGGUGAAAGCUCAAGUUGAAUGGGAUCAAGACAGUUGUCUUUGGAGACUGCAGUCUUUGAGGCUUCAAGUUCCCUGUGGAAUCAGUCUCAGGUGGUGAACUCUAAUCCCAAUGAAUUGUUUGGGUGCACCAUUCAAGGUCUAGGCCAACCUAUAGGAAAUAACCUUGCCAAUCAGAUAAGAUGUAUCUGUAAUUUAUUAAACCAGCACUGGAACUGGAAGCAUUAUGUUAAUAAUUCCUUUUUUUUUUCAUCAGGCAGAUUUUGUACACUAGAUUAUGGACAAAGUGCCAGACCAGUAUCUUUUAAACACUGCUGACUGGGAAUACAUUGUUCCUCAACUGUACAAGGAGUACCCAAAUGAUGGCAUGAAUCUGAAUAUUUUUGUA